NNNNNNNNNNNNNNNNNNNNNNNNNNNNNNNNNNNNNNNNNNNNNNNNNNNNNNNNNNNNNGUCACUGUCAGCGAGCCGGCGAACCGGGAUCCCGGCUCCGCGGAGGGGGAAUCCCCCAGCCUCGCCCCCGCAGCCAAUCCGCGGGCCGCAUGCAAAUCACCGCCGCUCCGGGCGGCCGCGGGCCAGUGGGAAGGGAGAGGGGCGGGGAGGGGGGGGGCCCGUUGGACGGCGGGGAGGGCGGCCGGGGCCAAUGAGGAGGCCAUGCGGGCGGGGCGUGCCCAGGGGGCGGGGAUAUGCAAAUUUGGUUUGAAAAGAGGGCGGGAAAUCCGAGUUUCGCGGGAGGCCCUUGGCGCGUAACCCGUCUCCUUUCCCUUCAUUCAUUGUCAGCAGCCGCCGCUUCCUGGAGCCAUUUUCCAGCCGGCCCCACACAGCGGGAGCGGCCCCGCUCCAUCCGCCGCAUCUGCCCGCCCCGCUGCCUCCGUUCCCCCCCGGCACCCCGCAUCCUGCAGCCGGGGCCCCCCGGCACCCGCAGCCCCCAAUAUUUUGCGCGGGGCCUCGGCAUCAAGGAGAAAAGGAGCUGGGAAGGCCGGGGGGGAGGGAGGGACGGGGGGAGGAGGAGACGCGGCUGCGGGGACAGACCCGGAGGGAAGGAUGAGAAGGGGACUCCAGCCGACGGCCCCGGCAGCGCCGACGGCCCCGGCAGCGCCGCCGCCCGCACCGUCCUCGGACUCCAGAGUGGCCCCCGCCAGCUUCCCAGCCCACUUUGCCGCCGGCACCUUCAUCCAGAUCCGCAGCACCGGCGCGGCGGCGGCGGGGGCGCCCUGUGUUGUCUCCUCCUCCUCCUCCUCCUCCUCCUCCUCCGCUUCCCAGGCUCCCGGUGCCUCUGUCCCGGCGGCGGACGGGGGCCAGCCCGCUGGCAGCUCGCUGUACUGCACCCCCCACGGACCCGCCGGCAGGACGGCGCUGCUGCAGCCCGCUCUCGGCGGAGGCGGAGGCCGCCCCCCGGUAAUUUUCCUCCGUCCCAGCGGGAGGGUGAAGGGAACGGUGGGGAUCAGCGCCAGGCAGGCCCUCUUCCUGCCAUCGACUCCCCCGCUGCCGUGCGGGCCCGGGGGCGGGGGGCAGGAAAGGCGGAGACGGUGCUUUGUUGCAAUAAACUUUCCUGGCUCCUUCCCACCCCCGCGUCGGCCUCGCUGCUGCCGGGCUUUAUUAAAAAAGAAAAGAAAGAAAGAGAGAGGAAAGAA
rnacentral:lncRNA from 1 species